GCCGCCGGCCCCGCCCGGGACCCGGAGAGCUGUCCAGCCGCCCGCGCCUGCCGAGCACAGGCAGCCCGGCCCGGCGCUGUCCCAAGCGAGGGAGCAGCCCCCACUCCUAUAGCUCCACUGAUACCCCCAUUCCAUCGUCAUCGUGGUCCAUCGUGGUUUGUUCAUAAAAACAUCAAAACCCGCGCAAAACACAGUCCUAAGACUAAGGUAAAGAGGGAUAACAAAUUAUGAAAGGAUAGUGAAGCUACAUAAUAAGGAAGAACCAACAUCCCUUUGGCAAGAGCAGUUCUUUAUCCAUGAAGGACUUCUUGAACAGAUAAUAUCCAUCCAGCUGCAGAAGAGGCAGCUGUCUGGAGGUCAGAACCGCUUCCAGUGGGCAGUUUAUCAAUGGCUUGGAGACAUCUUGAAGGCUGGUGACGUCUCCUUCACUAUGAAGGGCUGAUGCACUUGCCCACUUGACUUGGUAUGAAAAAAAAGCAACACUUAAAUCAUAGCUGGGGAUUGAAAUGGAGAAGUAAGGACCAAGAAAACAAAGGAUCUGAAGAAGGGGAUGUUUCAAUCUCACAAGCCUUUUUCAGUCACAAAGCUGGCAUCAUGGAAAGUGCUGUAUUUCACUUAAGGCAUGAAGCACCAUCUUCUCCGCUCACAAGUUAGCUACCAGAAUACUUUUGGUAUUCUUAACACAGCUGUUCCUUUGAUGAAAAAUUGUAUCUGAAGACCAACUAUGCAGGAAUGAACAACAAUACAUAGCCAAUCAAAACACUGAUUUCUUCUAUAAUCAAACCAUUUUGGGAAGAAAACAUAAUUUUUAUUUUUAGGUUCUAUUUUUUUUGGUUGUAUUUAAUGUGUUUGGCAACUCUUUCAUAAGACAUAAGACAGAUAACAGCAAAAAUAACUCUGCCUGUUAGUAGACAGCUUUUCACUUCUAAAGUACUCCAGUAAAUGACACUUUAUUUUGGGGGGAUGCAAGGAGGGGGAGGCUUGGUGAGUGAUUGGUUGGUUGGUUGGUUGGUUGGUUGGUUGGUUGGUUGGUUGGUUUUUUUAGGUACUUUGGUGGAACAUAGGCAGCGACAGAAUGAACAUCAUAUGACCUCAAAAUGGGAAAAGGUCUUUAGUAAAUUAUUCUUUCAAAAUAUUCAAGUUGACAAAAUUCUCAAUAUUGUGUGAGUUUGUUUUACUUUACUAGAAUAGGCACUGAGGUAUCCCAGGUAGGUAAAGAUAUGGAGAAGGCUAGGGAAACAAUACCAUAAAAUUUAGCACUUUUAUAACUAGACAACACAAAGUAUUUGAUGAAUGACUGUCACAUAGUAGGAAGAUGUUGUUAAAAAUAAAGGGAAAACUUAGUUUUCCUCUCAUAUAUGCAAACUCUUUUAUUAUUUAUGAAGUUCAUAAAGAGUACUAUUAAAAUCUGGACAAAAUGUUGGAGCAAGUGCUUCGCUUCUCUAAUCAAAGGUAUUUAGUUUCAGGAUUAUUUAAUGUAUUUUUACUCUUGUACUUCUGCAUUUUAAGUAAUUAAAUGCUAAAAUGUAGUUUAAAAAACCCAAACCCAUUUAUUGAAAA